rnacentral:rRNA from 1 species
GACGAACGCUGGCGGCGUGCUUAACACAUGCAAGUCGAACGAUGAAGAAAAGAAUUGAAGCUUCGGCAGAAAUUCAUUUCGGAUUAGUGGCAGACGGGUGAGUAACGCGUGAGCAACCUACCUCUUACAAAGGGAUAGCCUCGGGAAACCGGGAUUAAUACCAUAUAACAUUGCGACGAAGCAUUUCGAUGCAAUCAAAGCUACGGCGGUAAGAGAUGGGCUCGCGUCCCAUUAACCAGAUGGUGAGGUAACGGCUCACCAUAGUAACGAUGGGUAACCGGCCUGAGAGGGUGAACGGUCACACUGGAACUGAGACACGGUCCAGACUCCUACGGGAGGCAGCAGUGGGGAAUAUUGCACAAUGGAGGGAACUCUGAUGCAGCGGCGCCGCGUGAGUGAUGAAGGAAUUCGUUUCGUAAAACUCUGUUCUAUGGGAAGAAAAGGACUGUACCAUAGGAGAAAGCUCCGGCUAAAUACGUG